rnacentral:rRNA from 1 species
AUUGAACGCUGGCGGCAUGCCUUACACAUGCAAGUCGAACGGUAACAGGUCUUCGGAUGCUGACGAGUGGCGAACGGGUGAGUAAUACAUCGGAACGUGCCUAGUAGUGGGGGAUAACUACUCGAAAGAGUGGCUAAUACCGCAUGAGAUCUACGGAUGAAAGCAGGGGAUCGCAAGACCUUGUGCUACUAGAGCGGCCGAUGACAGAUUAGGUAGUUGGUGGGAUAAAAGCUUACCAAGCCGACGAUCUGUAGCUGGUCUGAGAGGACGAUCAGCCACACCGGGGCCGAGACACGGCCCAGACUCCUACGGGAGGCAGCAGUGGGGAAAUUUGGACAAUGGGCGCAAGCCUGAUCCAGCAAUGCCGCGUGCAGGAUGAAGGCCUUCGGGUUGUAAACUGCCUUUGUACGGAACGAAAAGCCCCGGGUUAAUACCCUGGGGUCAUGACGGUACCGUAAGAAUAAGCACCGGCUAACUACGUGCCAGCAGCCGCGGUAA